rnacentral:rRNA from 1 species
UACGUAGGUGACCAGCGUUGUCCGGAUUUACUGGGCGUAAAGAGCGCGCAGGCGGUCGUUCAAGUCGAGUGUGGAAGCCCCCGGCUCAACUGGGGAGGGUCACGCGAUACUGAUCGACUCGAAGGCAGGAGAGGGUAGUGGAAUUCCCGGUGUAGUGGUGAAAUGCGUAGAUAUCGGGAGGAACACCAGUGGCGAAGGCGACUACCUGGCCUGUUCUUGACGCUGAGGCGCGAAAGCUAGGGGAGCAAACGGG